CAGCCGCCACGGGAAUACAGAGGGUGCGAGCGUUAAUCGGAUUUACUGGGCGUAAAGCGUGCGUAGGCGGCUUCUUAAGUCGGAUGUGAAAUCCCUGAGCUUAACUUAGGAAUUGCAUUCGAUACUGGGAAGCUAGAGUAUGGGAGAGGAUGGUAGAAUUCCAGGUGUAGCGGUGGAAUGCGUAGAGAUCUGGAGGAAUACCGAUGGCGAAGGCAGCCAUCUGGCCUAAUACUGACGCUGAGGUACGAAAGCAUGGGGAGCAAACAGGAUUAGAUACCCCCGUAGUCCCUGUCUCUUAUAC
rnacentral:rRNA from 1 species